rnacentral:tRNA from 1 species
GGGCAGUUAGCUCAGUGGUAGAGCACCUGCCUUACAAGCAGGACGCCAUAGGUUCAAAUCCUAUACUGCCCA